AGCACAGUGUGGACCUCUUGUAGCGGUGGCUGCUUUCUCUGCUACAUCUCUCUCCUCCUGGCUGCCUUAAACCUCAGACUCUGUCCUUUCAAAACUGUAACUCUCCUUUUCUUUGCUUUCUUUGCUCAUAAGUUGAUGAUUUAUAAGGAAGGGGGGUUAAUUGAAAGGGGAUCUCUCUGAACUGGAGUAAAGAGGUGAGGUGAGCGUUUGUCUUUAGAGGUGUGCUUUAAAGCGGGAAGCAUCUCUGAUCCAGGUUGCAUCCUCUGGAGCAGCGACAGG